UACAGAGGGUGCGAGCGUUGUUCGGAAUUAUUGGGCGUAAAGGGCGCGUAGGCGGUGCGGUAAGUCACCUGUGAAAUCUCCUGGCUCAACUGGGAGCUUGCAGGCGAAACUGCCGUGCUGGAGUGUGGGAGAGGUGCGUGGAAUUCCCGGUGUAGCGGUGAAAUGCGCAGAUAUCAGGAAGAACACCCGUGGCUAAGGCGGUUCUCUAGUACGGUACUGACGCUGAGACGCGAAAGCGUGGGGAGCGAACAGG
rnacentral:rRNA from 1 species